rnacentral:rRNA from 1 species
CCUACGGGGGGCUGCAGUGGGGAAUAUUGGACAAUGGGGGCAACCCUGAUCCAGCCAUGCCGCGUGUGUGAAGAAGGCCCUCGGGUUGUAAAGCACUUUCAGUGAGGAAGAACGCCUGGUGGUUAAUACCCAUCAGGAAAGACAUCACUCACAGAAGAAGCACCGGCUAACUCCGUGCCAGUAGCCGCGGUAAUACGGAGGGUGCGAGCGUUAAUCGGAAUUACUGGGCGUAAAGCGCGCGUAGGUGGCUUGAUAAGCCGGUUGUGAAAGCCCCGGGCUCAACCUGGGAACGGCAUCCGGAACUGUCAAGCUAGAGUGCAGGAGAGGAAGGUAGAAUUCCCGGUGUAGCGGUGAAAUGCGUAGAGAUCGGGAGGAAUACCAGUGGCGAAGGCGGCCUUCUGGACUGACACUGACACUGAGGUGCGAAAGCGUGGGUAGCAAACAGGAUUAGAUACCCUAGUAGUC